rnacentral:rRNA from 1 species
GAUGAACGCUGGCGGCGUGCCUAAUACAUGCAAGUCGAGCGAACGGACUAGAAGCUUGCUUCUCUGAUGUUAGCGGCGGACGGGUGAGUAACACGUGGAUAACCUACCUAUAAGACUGGGAUAACUUCGGGAAACCGUAGCUAAUACCGGAUAAUAUUUUGAACCGCAUGGUUCAAAAGUGAAAGACGGUCUUGCUGUCACUUAUAGAUGGAUCCGCGCUGCAUUAGCUAGUUGGUAAGGUAACGGCUUACCAAGGCAACGAUGCAUAGCUGACCUGAGAGGGUGAUCGGCCACACUGGAACUGAGACACGGUCCAGACUCCUACGGGAGGCAGCAGUAGGGAAUCUUCCGCAAUGGGCGAAAGCCUGACGGAGCAACGCCGCGUGAGUGAUGAAGGUCUUCGGAUCGUAAAACUCUGUUAUUAGGGAAGAACAUAUGUGUAAGUAACUGUGCACAUCUUGACGGUACCUAAUCAGAAAGCCACGGCUAACUACGUG